rnacentral:rRNA from 1 species
UGGGGAAUAUUGCACAAUGGGGGAAACCCUGAUGCAGCGACGCCGCGUGAACGAAGAAGGUAUUCGUAUCGUAAAGUUCUGUCCUAUGGGAAGAUAAUGACAGUACCAUAGACGAAAGCUCCGGCUAAAUACGUGCCAGCAGCCGCGGUAAUACGUAUGGAGCGAGCGUUGUCCGGAAUUAUUGGGCGUAAAGGGUACGCAGGCGGUUUAAUAAGUCGAAUGUUAAAGAUCGGGGCUCAACCCCGCAAAGCAUUGGAAACUGAUAAACUGGAGUAGUGGAGAGGAAAGUGGAAUUCCUAGUGUAGUGGUGAAAUACGUAGAUAUUAGGAGGAAUACCAGUAGCGAAGGAGACUUUCUGGACACAAACUGACGCUGAGGUACGAAAGCGUGGGGAGCAACCAGG